rnacentral:rRNA from 1 species
UACGUAGGGGGCGAGCGUUAUCCGGAUUUACUGGGUGUAAAGGGAGCGUAGACGGCCAUUCAAGCCAGAUGUGAAAGCCCGGGGCUCAACCCCGGGACUGCAUUUGGAACUGUAUGGCUGGAGUGUCGGAGAGGCAGGCGGAAUUCCUAGUGUAGCGGUGAAAUGCGUAGAUAUUAGGAGGAACACCAGUGGCGAAGGCGGCCUGCUGGACGAUGACUGACGUUGAGGCUCGAAAGCGUGGGGAGCGAACAGG